rnacentral:rRNA from 1 species
UACGGAGGGUGCGAGCGUUGUCCGGAAUCACUGGGCGUAAAGGGCGCGUAGGUGGCGACUCAAGUCAACGGUGAAAGCUCGACGCUUAACGUCGAGUCGGCCGUCGAUACUGCGGUGCUUGAGGACUGGAGAGGAGACUGGAAUUCAUGGUGUAGCAGUGAAAUGCGUAGAGAUCAUGAGGAAGACCAGUGGCGAAGGCGGGUCUCUGGGCCGAUACUGACGCUGAGGAGCGAAAGCGUGGGGGAGCGAACAGG